rfam:Biomphalaria glabrata isolate BB02 linkage group LG29 unlocalized genomic scaffold LG29_random_Scaffold27, whole genome shotgun sequence.
GCCUCGGUAGCGCAGUAGGUAGCGCGUCAGUCUCAUAAUCACAUACGUACGUAGAGCAAUCUGAAGGUCGUGAGUUCGAUCCUCACCCGGGGCA